CACGAAACUAGAUAGGUAGCCCUACCUACGACUAGAAAAGUAUCGUAUUUUUUCUUCCAGUAAAUCUUCCACUCAUUCCUUCCAUUAUGGAAUAUCAUUUGGAGUGUAUUUUCCCUCUCAAAAAAGGCUUCGCCCUCACUUCACUGAACUUAUUGGAAAUGCCUAGGACAGAGUUCAUUCACUUGCCCAGCAGCCCUACUCCUCAUAGUUGAUCCGAAUUUCUAUCCCUGAUUGACUCAAUCAGGAAGAGGAAGACUUGAUAAAAGAUGAAAAGAAAGGAUUGAUUACCUUUUGAAGUCAAUAAAAGAAAGGAAAGGGCUAUUUAUGAGUUUAUGUAGAUGAAGUUUCAGAUUAUUGGAUGAGCGGAACAUCUUUGAGACAAAUCAUCUCUACCCGGGUACAUAGCUUCAUCCAAACCAUGGAUCCACGAAUUGUUGACUCGCUCUAGAAAAGAGCUUCGUAGUUGGGAGCUCUAAACUGAUGAUCGAUAUGGUUUCCUAGGAUGAGAACUAUGGUUUACUACUUGAAAGAAAGUUGUUUUAUCUUUUUUUUCACUUUUUGAGGUGUUUUGCCUAGUCUGAAUUUCCCCUUCUUCUAUUUGAUCAAGAUGGAUAGCAAAAAAGCACGAAUAGGCCUACUGGGAUGGAAGGAGAGAAGGACUGAACGAGAAAAGGAAAUACCUCUUUGUUUACCUUGGAAUGAAUUGCUCAACUACUUAGAUCGGAAGAGCACAC